CCUACGGGGGGCAGCAGUGGGGAAUAUUGGACAAUGGGGGCAACCCUGAUCCAGCCAUGCCGCGUGUGUGAAGAAGGCCCUCGGGUUGUAAAGCACUUUCAGUGAGGAAGAACGCCUGGUGGUUAAUACCCAUCAGGAAAGACAUCACUCACAGAAGAAGCACCGGCUAACUCCGUGCCAGCAGCCGCGGUAAUACGGAGGGUGCGAGCGUUAAUCGGAAUUACUGGGCGUAAAGCUCGCGUAGGUGGCUUGAUAAGCCGGUUGUGAAAGCCCCGGGCUCAACCUGGGAACGGCAUCCGGAACUGUCAAGCUAGAGUGCAGGAGAGGAAGGUAGAAUUCCCGGUGUAGCGGUGAAAUGCGUAGAGAUCGGGAGGAAUACCAGUGGCGAAGGCGGCCUUCUGGACUGACAAUGACACUGAGGUGCGAAAGCGUGGGUAGCAAACAGGAUUAGAUACCCGUGUAGUC
rnacentral:rRNA from 1 species